AAAGACGUCCGCUCUAGGCCUUUGGAGACAUCGUGGGAACUCCUUCCGGUACUAUACAAACUGCUGACGUGGCCGUGGACAUGUACAUGGAGAGUCAUGGUGGGACUUCAUGUACAUGGAUACAUGGUGGGAAUUCCUUCCGGCACCCCCGUACCGCAAAGCCAACGGUGGGGAAGGAGAAGUGCAGACGUGCAGGAAGACGAACGAGGAGGAACCAGGACGAGCGAGCAAUGGCAGGACUAGCUGGACCGAGGGAAAAUAUUGCUGCGAAGACGUCUCCUCUAGACGACGGUAUAUCAUCCCGUGACGACCACAUUGAAGUCUGAAUUUGAAGUGUGAAGAUACUUCAGCAACCACAUCGUACUUUUCCAUUGCUUUCAUUGUGCUUCUACUGUGCAUGUGUGUAACUUGUGGGGUAAACAUGUGAUGACAUUGUAUGCUGGCGACACGGUCAGAUGUUCAUGCGUCUAACGUACACCUGCAUGUUAUGCAUUGAAAAGGGUUUGCCACUUGCGAUCCUGGGAGGAGUAUCAGGUCCGCUUUGUCCUGUGUGGGCUGUAUCAGAUUGCUGUUCACUUCUCUAUCUGUUGGAUAUGUGACUUUCUGCAAGUUUCUGGUGUAUGAUGGCAACGUCCUUGCUUGUCACUUUGUAUGAUAUUACAUUCUGUAUUCGCUGCUUCCAUGGCAUGGUCUGCAAACUGCAAUCCUUGGGCAAAUGUCAUGUUUGCUAUGUUGUGCUUUGGCCGUCAGCUUGUCU